UAAAAGAAAUAUUACAAGAGCAAGGAUGAGCUCUUGAAGAUGGAAAACAUGAUAGCCGAAGUGAAAGAUCAAUAUCAGGCUUGGAAGAUGAAGUAGAACGCAUUCAUUCAUUCAGCAAAUAUUAUCGACUAGUUACUAGAUCCUUGACAUUGUUCCAGACAGUGGAAAUACAUCAGUAAGCAAAACAGACAAAGAGUCCCAGCCUAGUAACCCUUCAAUUCUAGUGCAAGCGAGCAUAAUCAACACCGUAAUAUGUAGGUUACAUGGUAUAUUGGAAGGGGUUGAGUGCUCGGGGGGAAAAAGAAGAGCAGAGCAUGGUAAGGAGAAUCAAGAGUGCUGGGAGGCGGGAAUGGAGAUAAGUUGAACUUUUAAAUAAGAAGGCCAGGACUGGCCUCCCUUGAGAACGUGACAACUGAGCAAAGAUGCAGAGGGUGAGGAAGUCAGCCAUCUGAUGGCUGGGAGCAGAUUAUUCCAGGCAGAGGGAGCAACUAGCCCAAAGACCCUGAGAUAAGAGAGUGCUUGGCCUGUGCCAGGUCCAGCAGGGAGGCCAGUGUGGCAGGAGCAAGCAGGGGAGAGGACAGCGGGAGAUGAGGUGGGGAGGAGACAGUGCCAGACCACAUGGGGCCAUGGAGGCUAUGGGAAGGACUUUGGCUUUUCUGCUGAGGGAAAAGGAGAGCCACUGCAGAGUUUGAGCAGAGAAGUGACAUGAUCUGACUGUUGUCUUAAAAGGAUCACUCUGGCUGCUGUGUUGAGAAUUGGCAUCUCAAUUUCAAGGAUGUGUGCAAUGCCAUGCCGGAGUCCUUUGUUUAUACCUUCGUUGUUCCCUCUGAGCAGGCCUCUCUGUUUGCUGCCGUCCUCUUUUCUGAGAAAUGGUCCCUCGCUUGCUUCUCUGUCAGUAUGCUCUCUACCCGAUAUCCUCUGCUGACUUCACCUCACAGGUCCUUCGGCUCCCGCUCCUCUGGCCUCAUAUCCUAAAGCACGUUACAUCUGGCUGGUUCUGCUUUUGUGUUAAUAUUGUUAGAAGCAGGGCCUCUUUUGCCUCCCUUGUUGUUUGCUAAACCUCUUAGGCAUAUGCAAAUAAGUAUUAAGCACUUGUUUUUUAAUAUAACAUUUAAUUUUCUGCUUUCUGAAGCUCUGUCAUCAGGCAGAGUCCUUUACAGAGGUAAGCUUUGUAUGACUCUUGAAAAACUCAACAGUUUAAGCUGCUUUAAACAGAGAGAGAAAACAAGAAAAUCUGUCUUAUACCUUAAAUUCCAAACCUGCAGACCCUUGGUGGCAAAACCAACCAACAACCCUUCUGCCACACAUACACACAAACUUUUAUGGAAGCAUAUCUGUUUAAACCAAAUAUACUUAGAUUAUAAGGAAAAAUGCAUGAAUCAUGUUUCCUGUAAAAUCAUUUUCCUCUGUAGUUUUCAAUGCUUAUCCUUUGAUGUUAAAAAAAAAAAAAAUAGAGCUUAAGGGACUUCUGAUAAAGUUGGUGCAGGUUCACAAAAUUCCCUUCCCACAGAAUUGUGUAAGAUUAACAAAUAUCAAAUGUAAAAAUAACAAAGAACAUGCCAUCAACCCUGAAACCAAGAAAAGAUUCCAACUUCAUACCAUAAACUUUGAGAAGUGUCAUCCAAAAAAAGAAAACUUGGGCCAAAUUGAAAGAAGAUGCUUAAAAAAAAAAAAAAAAUCGAUACAUUCUUCAAAGAGAAGAGUGGAGCAUGGAGAAGUACAAGGAGGGAAUCCUGAAAAAUUUUACUGCUUUUGAAGGUGCUACAUUGAGUAUAAAGGUGUACCAGCAGAAGGGCUUAGAACACCCCAUACGUUCAUUGGGGACCCUUUCUUUCAUCAAGAAGACUUCUUUAACAAGCAAGAAGAGUAGGUAAGGUUUGCCGUCUUUCCUGCGUCUGAUAUAUCAAUAACUGGAUGUAAAAUUAGGAAAUCAUGUACAGGCAAUGAUUAUUACAGCCGAACCAAGGAAAGCUCCACUAGACAUGGAAAAGGAACACUUGGGCCUAUAACAAGCCAGAAGCCUGUGAUACAACCCGGAUGUGGUGAAGCAAACCUCUGAUGCAUUUAUUUCACAGAAUGAAGACCUUGCUGGCAGUUACUUAAAGCCCCUGCACGCUCUCCUCUCUUCUUAGGCAACUAAAUGGAUAAGGAAUUUUCCAGUCCAUAUCAUAGGUGGAAGAAUAAAGCAAUAUCAAAUCAGGAACUAUUUGGGGGCAAAUGGCAUACUGAGAAAGAAUGACUUACAUCUACUAAGCAGUUUUCAGGUCAUACCGACAUGUGAUGGAGGCAAAAUAUCUGCACAUGCAAAAAAAGAAAGUAGCACAACUCACUAAAGGUAAAAGGAAUAGACUUUCCAAUAGUUGUAACAGCCUCUGCUUAUUGAGCACUGACUACCCACCAGGCACUAUUUUAAGUGUUGUGUAUGUAUUAACUCCAUUAGUCCUCACAACACUACAAGGUAAGCAUCACAAUUAUCCCCAUUUUACAGCUAAGAAAACUAAGGCACAGAGGAGUUAAGAAGUUUGCCCAAGUUUACACAGCUCUUAAGAGUGGGACCAGGAUUUGAAAACAGGCAGUCUGAGUCCAGAGCUGCCUCUCAGCUACUCUGCUUUUAUAACUCAAGAAAUAGACAACAUUUUAGGCAACUGCUUUUUACUUUCAAGGAAAUUUAAGAGAAUACAAAUGUAUUGGCCAUACACCUUUUCUUGAAAGCUGCUGGGGAAGAGGAGCGAAGAAAAGCAA